CCAGUUCCUGACUGUAUAUUAGAGAAGAAGCAACUUGCAGGCACUUUAUGCCGGGUAGACGGUUAAAAUCGUUGUGGAAAUAAGCGAGAAUUAUUUUGAGGAAUUUGAGCAGUUGAAAAUCAAGUGAGCCGGCAGUUACAACCCCGAAUGUAUAAUUAAAACUGGUUGUCAGGCCAUAAAAUCAAACCUUUGGUGAUAACAGGCAUUUUAAUCUAUUGCGUAAACGUGUGUGAUACUUAAAUAUUACUAUUAAUCUAUUAAAAAUAUAAUAGAUGAACAUUUCGAUCAACAAAACUAGUGAACUGUUCGAAGUGAAGAAACAAAACUUAUUUUAGAAACCAGAACGAUGCUAUCGCGAGUAUAUUAAGUGAUUGUUUCCCCAUGCAUGGAAAUAUCGGAGUAUUUCCAGUUAUAUUGGUAGAAACAUGCACCACGAUGUAAAUCCGCGAAUAAGAAACAAAAUGUACGACAGCAAGAAUUAAAAAUGGCGGAAUUAUACACUCCCACCAGACCUACGGAACCAUGCACGAACGAGAUGGGACAAGAUGAGGACGAAUCCCCUCCUUAUCCUGACCAACAAUGUUCAAGAACCUUCCCUAUCAGUUCAGCUUACAGGUAGUGUUCAUGGAACUUGAUUUUUAAUUA